GAAGAAACAAGAAAAAGAAGCAAUGGAUGGAGGCGAAAGAUAAUAAUAUUAUUGCUAGUAAUAAUUUAUAAUAUAAAUAAAAAGUUUAUUUAUUUAUUUAUUUUUCUCUCUACAUAUGUGUAUAAACUUAGUACAAAAUUUAAAAAAAUAAGAAAAAUCGUAAGAAAAAUAUUUUAAACAAU
rnacentral:ribozyme from 12 species